CACGUGCAAAGCCCACGCAACAACCUGGCAGAAUGUAAACUGAUGUUUGUGUGACGUGUUGAGUGCGAGCAAAACUGACGUCUCUCAGAGUGGAUCACUACCUAGACGCCAGCUGCGAGAUUUUCUGAGUGUUGAUUGUCAUCUGAUUGUGAGCUAACUACAGCCCAAAGGCUCUUUUAAGAGCCACAAGCACUGAGGAUCUUUGGCUUUCCAACCUCAACCAA